UACAGAGGUCUCAAGCGUUUGUUCGGAUUCAUUGGGCGUAAAGGGUGUGUAGGUGGCGCCGUAAGUCGGGGUGUGAAAUUUCGGAGCUUAACUCCGAAACUGCAUUCGAUACUGCGGUGCUUGAGGACUGGAGAGGAGACUGGAAUUCAUGGUGUAGCAGUGAAAUGCGUAGAGAUCAUGAGGAAGACCAGUGGCGAAGGCGGGUCUCUGGACAGUUCCUGACACUGAGACACGAAGGCCAGGGGAGCAAACGGGG
rnacentral:rRNA from 1 species